GACGAACGCUGGCGGCGUGCUUAACACAUGCAAGUCUAACGAGUGGCGAACGGGUGAGUAAUACGUGGGUAACCUGCCCUCUUUUUGGGAUAAGCCUUGGAAACGGGGUCUAAUACCGAAUAAAGGGGGUUGGGCUCGCGGCCUAUCAGCUAGUAGGUAAGGUAAUGGCCUACCUAGGCAACGAUCCCUAGCUGGGCUGAGAGGAUGACCAGCCAGACUGGGACUGAGACACGGCCCAGACUCAUACGGGAGGCAGCAGUGGGGAAUAUUGCACAAUGGGCGGAAGCCUGAUGCAGCCAUGCCGAGUGUAUGAAGAAGGCACUAGGGUUGUAAAGUACAUUCAGUGGGGAAGCGUUACCGACAGAAGGAGCACCGGCUAACUCCGUGCCAGCAGCAGCGGUAAUC
rnacentral:rRNA from 1 species